UGGGAGAAGCACGGCUUUGGGGUUUGAGGACAAGCUGGGUGAAGGAGCUGAUGAAGAUGUCGAGGAUGAAGAGGAGGCAGAGAGGAGGUCGUUAUCUGGUCCUUCUCUAUCCUGGGAACAGCAGGUCAUGACCUCUCUGUCUACUGAGGUUGGAUAUGCAGCUGUACUGAUAAGGCUGGUUGUCUCCAUGGUAACCAAGGUCAGGUGGAGAUAUAGUAAAGUAAACUGUGUACAAAGUACGUGACUUGAGUUAACUUUAGCAGCAUAGUGUCUUGUUUAUAGUUCUUAUUUAUACUUUUUACAACUGUGAUUUACACUUUUAGUAUUGUGAGAGACCUUCUGCCUACAUCCUUUCAGUCAUUGCUAUAAUCUGACACACAUUCAUUAUUUUGUGGCAGUUUUUUUAUCGUUAUUUAUUUCAACAUAUUGAAAAAACAAAACAAAACGAUUAUCACCUGAAUUAACGCCAUAACUAAUGUCUUCUCAUUUCCUGAGUCAGACUCCUCCACCUGAACAAAUCAGCAGUUUCUGCUGAUAAGAAUCUUAUAAUUGGAAUCAUCAAUAAUAUUUUAUUAUAUUGUCAAUCAGGAAAUGUUACACUUGUUGCUGUGUUAUCAUGGUAAUAUGUUGUUAAUCUGUCAAUUACUUUUCAAAGUGUUUAAAUCUCUAAAAAUGUCAAAAAAUAAAGAAAAAAAUGUUCCCAGA